AUACGUAGGGAGCGAGCGUUGUCCGGAAUUACUGGGCGUAAAGGGCGCGUAGGCGGCGCUUCAAGUCGUCUGUCAAAUGGAAGGGCUUAACCCUUUUUCGCAGACGAAACUGGAGAGCUUGAGAAGCAGAGAGGCAAACAGACUUCCUGGUGCAGCGGUGAAAUGCGUAGAUAUCAGGAAGAAUACCAGUGGCGAAGGCGGUUUGCUGGCUGCAUACUGACGCUGAAGCGCGAAAGCCAGGGGAGCGAACGGGAUUAGAUACCCCGGUAGUCCUGGCAGUAAACGAUGUAUGCUGGGUGUGAGACUAGCGAUAGUUUCGUGCCGAAGUUAACGCGAUAAGCAUACCGCCUGGGGAGUACGGUCGCAAGAUUGAAACUCAAAGGAAUUGACGGGG
rnacentral:rRNA from 1 species